ensembl:lncRNA
UAGGUCCAUAGAGAAUAUUGAGUGGAGUUCCCUGUGCUAUACAGUAGGCUAUUGUGUGACUGCAUGUGUGCUAAGUCGCUUCAGUCAUGUCCAUCCCUUUGACCCUGUGGACUGUAGCCCACCAGCCUCCUCUGUCCUUGGAAUCCUCCAAGCAAGAAUACUGACUUAAGUAGAUUGCUGUGCUCUCCUCCAGGGGAUCUUCCUGACCCAGGAAUUGAACCUAUGUCUCUUAUGUCUCCUGCAUUGGCCAAUUGCACUUUCUAAAAAUGGCCAAUUGCCUGCACUUUCUAAGCAGCCCUCAAGUCCUCUGGACAAAAAAAACUGCUGGGAAAGUGAUCUGGGAACAGUUUAACUCUGCUUUCUCCACUCUCCUUGGGAUGGAAUAGAUAGCACAUGCUCUUCUUUUAUACUGUCUUGCACAUAAAAAGAUAGAUCACAGUAUCUUCCUCAGACCUUUUUAAAUCUACUUUUCCCCCUUCAAUGUUGAAAAGUCAUAAUAAACCUGAAACCUUCUUAGUCCCUUCAUUAUAUUUGUGUGGUAAAGCUCACAGUUGAUGUCAGAAAAGAGACAUCCAUGUAUAAAGAAAGAUGUGGAACAUGUUAAAAAUAAGAUGGAUUUAACCAGCAACUUGAAAAUGACCUGCAAUGUAUUUCUUUGUAAUUUUUUGUGCUUAUAUUGAUAUUUAUUUGUAAUUUUUAAAAUAAUUUAUUGUUGUUCAUUCAUUUAUUCACUGUUUUACAUCUCAUUUUAGCCCAAGAAGAAUGUAGUUUACAAGAAUAUAUUACAAUUCUAUUUUUAAAACACAGUGAGAAAAUUGGAUUGCAGGGGAAAUAAGAUAAAGCUGGGGCUGGUACAGAAAAUAUAACCCAUGAAGCUCUGUUGACUUGCUGGAAAAGGGCCAAAAAUUUUACUCUGAGCUGCCUAACAGUCAAUUCAAAAACCAGAAAAUGGAAACAAAUCAGACACUCAAGAGAAGCACAAAGAUUCCUGAAGAAAAUUUCCUCCAUGGGUCUUCAUAAAGAGGGCACUGCAACCAACUUCCUCAAUAUCAAAAACCUAGAAAAAUAUAAUUCACAUGUUCAAGAUUUUUGACCCCCGGGCAGACAGUUUCCUAGUCAAGUGUGUUGUUCACAUCCAAAGCCUCAGAUCCUGCGUAGCUGCUGUCCAGUAGGCCCCAGAGACUAUCACUGCAUGAUGUGUCGUCGCAUCAGGUAACAUGGCUCUGCAUCCGUUAAGACAUGGAGUGUCACUGGUAUUUGGAGGAUCAUGUAGCAUCGUUCUCACACGUCCUACUUUCAAAUUGCUCAUCUCCUC